CCUACGGGUGGCUGCAGUGGGGGAUAUUGCACAAUGGGGGAAACCCUGAUGCAGCGACGCCGCGUGGGCGAAGAAGUCUUUCGGUAUGUACAGCCUUAUCAGCAGGGUAGAAGAAAUGACGGUACCUGAGUAAGAAGCAUCGGCGAAAUACGUGCCGGCAGCCGCGGUAAUACGUAUGGUGCAAGCGUUCUCCGGAUAUACUGGGUGUAAAGGGAGCGCAGGCGGCACGGGAAGCCUGAUGUGAAAGCCCGCGGCCCAACCGCGGGACUGCAGUGGGAACUACCGGGCUGGAGUGCGGGAGAGGUAGGCGGAAUGCCUGGUGUAGCGGUGAAAUGCGUAGAUAUUAGGAGGAACACCAGUGGCGAAGGCAGCCUACUGGACGGUGACUGACGCUGAGGCUCGAAAGCGUGGGGAGCAAACAGGAUUAGAUACCCGAGUAGUC
rnacentral:rRNA from 1 species